GUCUCCGUAGGUGAACCUGCGGAGGGAUCAUUACAGAGUUCAUGCCCUACCGGGUAGAUCUCCCACCCUAUGUUAUUAUUACUUUGUUGCUUUGGCGGGCCGUUAGGCUCCGGCCCGACUACCGGCCCCGGCUGGUAAGCGCCCGCCAGAGGACCCAAAACCCUGAAUAGUAGUGUCGUCUGAGUACUAUAUAAUAGAUAAAACUUUCAACAACGGAUCUCUUGGUUCUG
rnacentral:misc_RNA from 1 species